rnacentral:rRNA from 1 species
CGGGUGAGUAAUGUAUGGGGAUCUGCCUGAUGGGGGGGGAGUAACUACUGGAAACGGUAGCUAAUACCGCAUAAUGUCUGCGGACCAAAGCGGGGGACCGUCCGGGCCUCGCGCCAUCAGAUGAACCCAUAUGGGAUUAGCUAGUAGGUAAGGUAACGGCUUACCUAGGCGACGAUCCCUAGCUGGUCUGAGAGGAUGAUCAGCCACACUGGGACUGAGACACGGCCCAG